AGAAUCAACGCUGGCGGCGUGCCUAACACAUGCAAGUCGAACGAGAAAGUGGUAGCAAUACCAUGAGUAAAGUGGCGCACGGGUGAGUAACACGUGACUAACCUACCCUUGAGUGGGGGAUAACUGAGGGAAACCUUAGCUAAUACCGCAUAAUACCCACGGGUCAAAGGAGCAAUUCGCUCGAGGAGGGGGUCGCGGCCGAUUAGUUAGUUGGCGGGGUAAUGGCCCACCAAGACGAUGAUCGGUAUCCGGCCUGAGAGGGCGCACGGACACACUGGAACUGAAACACGGUCCAGACUCCUACGGGAGGCAGCAGUGGGGAAUUUUGCGCAAUGGGGGAAACCCUGACGCAGCAACGCCGCGUGGAGGAUGAAGUCCUUCGGGACGUAAACUCCUUUCGAUCGGGACGAUUAUGACGGUACCGGAAGAAGAAGCCCGGCUAACUUCGCGCCAGCAGCCGC
rnacentral:rRNA from 1 species